rnacentral:tRNA from 1 species
GGAUUAUAGCCCAGUGGUAGAGUGCUUGCCUUGCAUGUGUGAGGCACUGAGUUCGAUCCUCAGUACCA